rnacentral:rRNA from 1 species
UACGUAGGACGCAAGCGUUAUCCGGAAUUAUUGGGCGUAAAGAGCUCGUAGGCGGUUUGUCGCGUCUGCCGUGAAAGUCCGGGGCUCAACUCCGGAUCUGCGGUGGGUACGGGCAGACUAGAGGUAUGCAGGGGAGAACGGAAUUCCUGGUGUAGCGGUGAAAUGCGCAGAUAUCAGGAGGAACACCGGUGGCGAAGGCGGGUCUCUGGGCCGUAACUGACGCUGAGGAGCGAAAGCGUGGGGAGCGAACAGG